rnacentral:rRNA from 1 species
GAUGAACGCUGGCGGCGUGCCUAAUACAUGCAAGUCGAGCGAACGGACGAGAAGCUUGCUUCUCUGAUGUUAGCGGCGGACGGGUGAGUAACACGUGGAUAACCUACCUAUAAGACUGGGAUAACUUCGGGAAACCGGAGCUAAUACCGGAUAAUAUUUUGAACCGCAUGGUUCAAAAGUGAAAGACGGUCUUGCUGUCACUUAUAGAUGGAUCCGCGCUGCAUUAGCUAGUUGGUAAGGUAACGGCUUACCAAGGCAACGAUGCAUAGCCGACCUGAGAGGGGGAGCGGCCACCGUGGAACUGAGCCAGGGUCCGGACUCCGACGGGAGGCACAGGUGGGGAAUCUUCCGCAAGGGGGGAAAGCCGGACGGAGCACCGCGGGGGGAGUGAUGAAGGUCUUGGGAUCGUAAAACUCUGUUAUUGGGGAGGAACAAAUGUGAAAGUAACUGUGAACGUCUUGACGGUACCUAAUAAGAAAGCCACGGCUAACUACGUG